rnacentral:misc_RNA from 1 species
GAUGAAGAAUGCAGCGAAAUGCGAUAAGUAGUGUGAAUUGCAGAAUUCCGUGAAUCAUCGAAUCUUUGAACGCACAUUGCGCCUUCUGGUAUUCCGGAAGGCAUGCCUGUUCGAGAGUCAUUAACAACCGUUUCGAUCCCUUUCUUUCAGAAAUUACAAAGAGGAAAAGGGUUUGGUUAUGGUGGAGGAGGGAAAGGGAGCGUUUAGCCUGUAAAAAAAGAGGCUGUGUUCCGCCUCCCCCCCAAAAUUGUACAGGCGGUCGUGUGCGCCCACGCAUCGAGGUGUUGUAAAAGCUGCCACGGCACUUUUCACCUGUGCAGUGCGAGAUUGGCCAGCCGGUUUAAAAACCCCUCCAAACAAUCAAAGGUUGACCUCGGAUCAGGUAGGGAUACCCGCUGAACUUAAGCAUAUCAAUAAGCGGAGGA